rnacentral:lncRNA from 1 species
AUAUAAUUCCCAUCUUAGCUUGUGGGAAAAUGUAGAAAUUUUCAUGAGCCCGCACCAGCAACUGCAUGGGGCUUGAGCUAGAGUCUAGACUUUGGACCAAUUUACCAGUCACUGCUGUCCAUAACUUGCUGAAAGCUCUGGGCAUCGUCGAUUUAUCUGGGACCAUAAAACAUGGCGUACACAAUGACAAGUCACAAGUCGAAUUUCCUAUCCGAA